rnacentral:rRNA from 1 species
AAUGAACGCUGGCGGCAGGCCUAACACAUGCAAGUCGAACGGAUCCUUCGGGAUUAGUGGCGGACGGGUGAGUAACGCGUGGGAACAUACCCAAAGGUACGGAAUAGCCUCGGGAAACUGGGAGUAAUACCGUAUGUGCUCGAAAGAGGAAAGAUUUAUCGCCUUUGGAUUGGCCCGCGUUGGAUUAGGUAGUUGGUGGGGUAAUGGCCUACCAAGCCGACGAUCCAUAGCUGGUUUGAGAGGAUGAUCAGCCACACUGGGACUGAGACACGGCCCAGACUCCUACGGGAGGCAGCAGUGGGGAAUCUUAGACAAUGGGGGAAACCCUGAUCUAGCCAUGCCGCGUGAUCGAUGAAGGCCUUAGGGUUGUAAAGAUCUUUCAGGUGGGAAGAUAAUGACUGUACCACCAGAAGAAGCCCCGGCUAAUUCCGUGCCAGCCGCCGCCGAGA